rnacentral:tRNA from 1 species
CGGGGUGUGGCGCAGUGGUAGCGCGCACGGUUCGGGACCGUGAGGUCGUGAGUUCAAAUCUCACNNGUUCGAGUCCUGUCACCCCGACCC